rnacentral:rRNA from 1 species
GACAGAGGUGCCGAGCGUUAGGCGGAAUCACUGGGCUUAAAGCGUGUGUAGGCGGGGUUGUAAGUACCUUGUGAAAUCCCACGGCUCAACCGUGGAACUGCUUGGUAUACUGCGAUUCUUGAGCCACCUAGGGGCUACCGGAACAAAUGGUGGAGCGGUGAAAUGCGUAGAUAUCAUUUGGAACGCCAAUGGUGAAAACAGGUAGCUGGGAGUGUGCUGACGCUGAGACACGAAAGCCAGGGGAGCGAACGGG